rfam:Rattus norvegicus chromosome X, whole genome shotgun sequence.
GGGGAUUUAGCUCAGCGGUAGAGCACUUGCCUAGCAAGCGCAAGGCCCUGGGUUCAAUCCCCAGCUCCG